UUCAAAGAAUUAGAGGAAAAGUUCUCUGAUGUAAAUUUGAUCCCAAAACCUAAAUCCUGGGGAGGAUACAAGCUUAAACCAGAUCUUUUUGAGUUUUGGCAAGGACAGCAGUCUCGCUUGCAUGACAGGUUGCAAUAUACUCCUCAAGAGAUCAAUGGGAGGCAAGUAUGGACAAUUGUGCGGUUGGCUCCCUGACUAGUAU
rnacentral:misc_RNA from 1 species